GACGAACGCUGGCGGCGUGCUUAACACAUGCAAGUCGAACGGAAAGGCCCUGCUUUUGUGGGGUGCUCGAGUGGCGAACGGGUGAGUAACACGUGAGUAACCUGCCCUUGACUUUGUGAUAACUUCAGGAAACUGGGGCUAAUACCGGAUAGGAUCUCCUGCUGCUUGGUGUGGUUUGGAAAGUUUCGGCGGUUGGGGAUGGACUCGCUGCUUAUCAGCUUGUUGGUGUGGUAGUGGCUUACCAAGGCUUUGACGGGUAGCCGGCCUGAGAGGGUGACCGGCAACAAUGGGACUGAGAUACGGACCAGAAUCCAACGGGAGGCAGCAGGGGGGAAUAGUGCAGAAUGGGCGGAAGCAUGAUGAAGAAAAGCGGCGUGCGGGAUGAAGGCCUUGGGGUUGAAAAAAGCUUUAGAAUGUGACGAAGAGUGAGUGACGGUAAUGGGUAAAGAAGCACCGGCUAACUACGUG
rnacentral:rRNA from 1 species